rnacentral:rRNA from 1 species
AUCAGCUGCUGCACGCCCGGGGCGUACAGUUCACAGAUCAAACGCGGGUGGCCUGCGCUCGCAGGUUGAGAUAUGACCGUAGCAGCUCCGCCAGGAGUCCUGGCAUGCUAGUUCCGUAGGUGAACCUGCGGAAGGAUCAUUA